rnacentral:rRNA from 1 species
UACGUAGGGGGCAAGCGUUGUCCGGAAUUAUUGGGCGUAAAGCGCGUGUAGGCGGCCAAGUAGGUCCGGUGUGAAAACUCGAGGCUUAACCUCGAGAUGUCAUCGGAAACCAUUCGGCUAGAGUCCGGAAGAGGAAAGUGGAAUUCCUGGUGUAGCGGUGAAAUGCGUAGAUAUCAGGAGGAACACCUGUGGUGUAGACGGCUUUCUGGACCAUAGCUGACGCUGAGACACGAAAGCGUGGGUAGCAAACAGG